GUGAACAAUUAAGGGCGCGCGGUGGAUGCCUAGGCUCUCGGAGGCGAAGAAGGACGCGAUAAGCCGCGAUAGUCCACGGCGAGGUGCAAGUAACCCUUGACCCGUGGGUUUCCGAAUGGGGCAACCCGGCCGUCUAGAUGACGGUCAUGCAUUAUCAUGCAGGCGAACGCGGGGAACUGAAACAUCUCAUUACCCGCAGGAGAAGAAAACAAAAUGUGAUUCCCCCAGUAGUGGCGAGCGAACGGGGAAGAGCCCAAACCGCUGCCGUUUCGGCGACAGCGGGGUCAUGGGACCACGCCAUUCGAAACAAGAUGAAGUGCAAUUACCUGGAAAGGUAAGCCGCGGAGGGUGAUAGCCCCGUGCACGUCAAUUCUUGUGGAGAUAGUGGANNNNNNNNNNUCAUGGGACCGCGAGAUUCGACGGAAGACGAAGUGCAAUUACCUGGAAAGGUAAGCCGUGGAGGGUGACAGCCCCGUGCACGACACCUCUUUCUUAGAUAGCGGUAUCCCGAGUAGGGCGGGACACGAGAAAUCCUGCCUGAAUUCGCCAGGACCUCCUGGCAAGGCUAAAUACUCCCGAGAGACCGAUAGUGAACCAGUACCGCGAGGGAAAGGUGAAAAGUACCCCGAGCAGGGGGGUGAAAUAGACCCUGAACCCGCGCGCCUANNNNNNNNNNNNNNNNNNNNNNNNNNNNNNNNNNNNNNNNNNNNNNNNNNNNNNNNNNNNNNNNNNNNNNNNNNNNNNNNNNNNNNNNNNNNNNNNNNNNNNNNNNNNNNNNNNNNNNNNNNNNNNNNNNNNNNNNNNNNNNNNNGGAAUCCCGAGUAGGGCGGGACACGAGAAAUCCUGCCUGAAUUCGCCAGGACCUCCUGGCAAGGCUAAAUACUCCCGAGAGACCGAUAGUGAACCAGUACCGCGAGGGAAAGGUGAAAAGUACCCCGAGCAGGGGGGUGAAAUAGACCCUGAACCCGCGCGCCUACAAGCGGUCGGAGCCACGCGAUGUGGUGACGGCGUGCCUUUUGCAUAAUGAGCCUACGAGUUAGUCGUCACCAGCGAGGUUAAGGGCUUCAGGCCCGUAAGCCGAAGUGAAAGCGAGCCUUAACAGGGCGUCAAGUUGGUGGCGCUAGACGCGAAACCUUGUGAUCUACCCACGAGCAGGUUGAAGUCGCGGUAACACGUGAUGGAGGACCGAACCGGUAAACGUUGAAAAGUUUUCGGAUGACUCGCGGGUAGGGGUGAAAGGCCAAUCAAACUGGGAAAUAGCUCGUACUCUCCGAAAUGCAUUUCGGUGCAGCCUGUGAUGUUCUGUUCCAGAGGUAGAGCUACUGGUUGGACGCGAGGGCUUCACCGCCUAUCAAAUCCGGAUAAACUCCGAAUGCUGGAACACGAAAUCAUGGAGUGAGCCCGCGGGUGCUAAGGUCCGCGGACGAGAGGGAAAGAACCCGGACCACCGGCUAAGGUCCCGGAUGGACAGUUAAGUUGAUCAAACGAGGUGGGAUCGCGGAGACAGCUAGGAUGUUGGCUUGGAAGCAGCCAUUCAUUUAAAGAGUGCGUAACAGCUCACUAGUCGAGCGAUCCCGCGUGGAUAAUACACGGGCAUCAAACUGUCAACCGAAGCCGUGGGGCCAGCGAAAAGCUGACCGGUAGGAGAGCAUUCCUGCCAGCGUUGAAGGUCACCCGCGAGAGUGACUGGAGCGGCAUGAAAAGCAAAUGUAGGCAUAAGUAACGAUAAUGGGGGCGAGAACCCCCCACGCCGCAAGACCAAGGCUUCCCCGGCAAUGUCAAUCAGCCGGGGGUCAGCCGGCCUCUAAGGCUAACCCGAAGGGGGAUGCCGACGAGAAACGGGUUAACAUUCCCGUGCUUCUCGUCACCGUGACGCGGUGACGGGGUGAUGAAUGGACCGCGCGCUGACGGAAUAGCGCGUUGAAGGCCGUACCCUUCGAGGGUGGUAGUCAAGCACGCCACCCGAGGCGAUAGCCGAUAGUACCACGAGACUCCGGUCGAGUGGAUAGCGUCCAGGCAAUUUACCCCCGAGAAAACCCGCUAAACUUCAAGUGACGAGGAACCGUACUGUAAACGGACACACGUGGUCGGGUAGAACAUACCAAGGCGCUCGAGUGAUUCAUGGUCAAGGAACUAGGCAAAAUAGUCCUGUAACUUCGGGAAAAAGGACGCUCUAGUGAUAGAGCCGCAGAGUAAUGGCCCAGGCGACUGUUUACCAAAAACACAUGGCUAUGCCAAAUCGAAAGAUGACGUAUAUGGCCUGACACCUGCCCGGUGCCGGAAGGUUAAGAGGAGAGCUCAUCGGAAACGAGAAGGUUUGAAUUGAAGCCCCGGUAAACGGCGGCCGUAACUAUAACGGUCCUAAGGUAGCGAAAUUCCUUGUCGGGUAAGUUCCGACCUGCACGAAUGGUGUAACGAUCUGGGCACUGUCUCGACCAUGAGCUCGGUGAAAUUGUAGUUCCGGUGAAGAUGCCGGGUACCCGCGACGGGACGGAAAGACCCCGUGAACCUUUACUGCAGCUUCGCGUUGUUCCCGGGCACGGGACGUGUAGGAUAGGUCGGAGGCUACGAUUCGGUUUCGCCAGGAAUCGAGGAGCCAUCGUUGAAAUACGACCCUUCUCUUGUCUGGGAUCUAACCCUAGGUACAGGGGACACCGCGUGGUGGGUAGUUUGACUGGGGUGGUCGCCUCCAAAAGCGUAACGGAGGCUUCCAAAGGUACCCUCGGGUUGGUUGGUAAUCAACCUCAGAGUGCAAUGGCACAAGGGUGCUUGACCGGGAGACCAACGAGUCGAUCGGGUGCGAAAGCAGGGCAUAGUGAUCCGGUGAUCCCGCGUGGAAGGGUCAUCGCUCAAAGGAUAAAAGGUACUCCGGGGAUAACAGGCUGAUCGCCCCCAAGAGCUCAUAUCGACGGGGCGGUUUGGCACCUCGAUGUCGGCUCGUCACAUCCUGGGGCUGGAGAAGGUCCCAAGGGUUCGGCUGUUCGCCGAUUAAAGUGGCACGCGAGCUGGGUUCAGAACGUCGUGAGACAGUUCGGUCCCUAUCUGUCGUGGGCGCUGGAGAUUCGAGAGGUCCUGACUCUAGUACGAGAGGACCGGGUUGGACGCGCCGCUAGUGAACCUGUUAUGACGCCAGUCGUACGGCAGGGUAGCCACGCGCGGACGGGAUAAGCGCUGAAAGCAUCUAAGCGCGAAGCCUGCCUCGAGAUGAGAUCUCCUUACAGGGUCGUCGUAGACGACGACGUUGAUAGGCCACAGGUGUAAAGCCGGUGACGGCAAAGCCGAGUGGUACUAAUCACCCGAAAGUUGACGUUC
rnacentral:rRNA from 1 species